rnacentral:rRNA from 1 species
AACGAACGCUGGCGGCGUGGAUAUGACAUGCAAGUCGAACGGGACAGACCGAGUAGCAAUAUUUGGAAUGUUCAGUGGCGAACGGGUGCGUAACACGUGGAUAACAUUCCGGAAAGCGGGGAAUAGCCCAGGGAAACUUGGAUUAAUACCGCAUGUGGCCGCAAGGCUAAAGACGGGGACCGCAAGGCCUGUCACUUUCCGAUUGGUCCGCGGCCUAUCAGCUAGUUGGCGGGGUAAUGGCCCACCAAGGCUACGGCGGGUAGCUGGUCUUAAGGGACGAACAGACACACUGGAACUGAGAAACGGGUCAGACACCUACGGGUGGCAGCAGUCGAGAAUCUUUCACAAUGGGGGCAACCCUGAUGGAGCGACGCCGCGUGGAGGAUAAGGUCUUCGGAUUGUAAACUCCUGUCAUGCGAGAACAAGGUACUCAGGCUAAUAACCUGAUUGUUUGAUGGUACCGCAAGAGGAAGAGACGGCUAACUCUGUGCCAGCCGCCGCCGUAAAAC